GUCACCAGUUAAACCGGUCACCACUUGAACUGAAACACCGGUCAUUCAGCUGUUCAGCACCCAGGCUCUGGAACUCCCUACCCCCACACAUAAAACAGUCAGACACCAUUACAACCUUCAAGUCACAACUCACCUGUUCAAACUCGCACACAACGUCUAACUGAGGCCUGUUUCAGGUAGCUGGUUUAACAUACUCUGAGUUUAAUCCUGCGCUCUGAGUUGGUUGACUCAGAGUUCAGGGUUGAAAAGCAACUCUGGGUUUUCGGUUUCAGAACAGGUGAUCAGCGUUGGGUUAAUCAACUCUGAGUAUGUUCACUCUGGGUUGAGGGCGUGCCUGUUGACUAUGAAGAGCCAUCAUCAAUGGAUCUCUGAUAACAUGAUCAAACAUGGACCAAAAGCGUAGAUCCACUUACUUUUCCCCCACGGAAUUGGAAAUUCUAAUGAACGUGUAUGCCGAGCAGUUACCCAUUUUAACAAAAAAAAGCAAUACCGCCGCGGCAGCGAGAGCGCGAGAGAGAGCUUGGCAGGAAAUAGCUGAAAUGCCAAAUCGAAAAAAUGCAGAGGCCCGGCAGACUGGAGGGGGUCCACCACCUGCAGCCCUCACAGAGGCUGAGGAGAUGGCCCUCAGCCAACAGAGUAUGCGUCCUGUGGCUGAGGGCAUCCCUGGGGGGAGCUCCUCUGAUCCCCCCAACCCCCCAGGAUAGAAGUGCCUUUACAGUAUAAGAGUUACUGAUGGCGUCAUCGCCCUACUUGAACCAGAUGCCCUCACCAACCUCCAUGCAAUUGUAACAAUUCAAAAGAUGCAAAAGGAUGCUUUGGAGAUCCAAAUUUUGGAACAUAAGUUAUAGGUGGGUGAGGUGCAAACUGGGAUAGGCUACUGUUCCCUGCUCUAAAAACAUACCCAAUAUAACAAUUUUUUUUGUGCUUUCAGGAAAUAAAAAAAUCCUCAUAAUAA
ensembl:lncRNA